GUGUUAACUAGCACAACGGGUGGGAAAGUAUUAAAAUUACUACAGCAGCAGCUGCAGCUGCUGCCGUUGGGUUCCAACCCAAACUAACACA
rnacentral:tRNA from 1 species